rnacentral:misc_RNA from 1 species
AACGCAUAUUGCGCCCGAGGCCUCUGGCCAAGGGCAUGUCUGCCUCAGCGUCGGGUUAAUACUCGCCCCCUCUACUCAUUUCAUAUGAGCAGAACGGGCGGAUCUGGCCGUUCCAGCGCUUCACUCGUUGAAAGCUGGAUCAGCCGAAGAACAGAGGCUAACCAAGGACCCGUCAAGGGCCGCAACUGGGUGGGCAGCUCACGCUUGCUAAAUCAUCUUGGUUGUUGGUCUGGGACUUUGUUGUUCGGCCCAAAACAGGAACCCUUCUUUAUUUUCUCGACUGAGCUCAGGCAAGAACACCCGCUGAACUUAA